rnacentral:rRNA from 2 species
CAGUGACUCUGUUCAACGGCCGCGGUAUCCUAACCGUGCAAAGGUAGCGUAAUCACUUGUCUUUUAAAUAAGGACUAGUAUGAAAGGCGCCACGAGGGCUAAGCUGUCUCCUUUUUCUAAUCAGUGAAUCUGAUCCCCCUGUGAAGAAGCAGGGAUAUUCGUAUAAGACGAGAAGACCCUAUGGAGCUUAAAACAUCACAACACUUGCUGACUCAAAUUAUUAGACUCAUCACCCAAUCAGCAUACUGAUUGUGAGUUUUUGGUUGGGGUGACCGCGGAGAAUAACUAAUCCUCCACAGUGAAUAGGAAUUUCCUUAAACAAUAAGUUACAACUUUAUGUAUCAAUAAAUUGACACCCAUUGACCCAAUACACUUGAUCAACGAACCAAGUUACCCUAGGGAUAACAGCGCCAUCCACUUUAAGAGCUCCUAUCGACAAGUGGGCUUACGACCUCGAUGUUGGAUCGGGAUAUCCUAGUGGUGCAGCCGCUACUAAGGGUUCGUUUGUUCAACGAUUAAAAUCCCACGUGAUC